AUGCUCUCUAUAUCUAUCAGCUUUACUGUCUUCUCUCUCCUGGGAGCAAGUUCACUUGGUGAAGAUGUUGCCCAGACUCCAGGACACCUGGUCAAAGGAAAGGGACAGAAAGUCAGCAUAUUCUGUAUUCCAGUCAAAGGACAUGACUAUGUUUACUGGUAUCAACAGAUUCCUGGAAAAGAGUUUAAGUUCUUGAUUUCCUUUCAGAAGGAUACUGUUUAUUAUGAAGGAGAAAUACCUAAGGAAAGAUUUGUAGCUGAGUGUUCUGCAAGUUCUCCCUGUAGGCUGAAGAUCCAGUCCACAGAGCUGCAGGAUUCUGCAGUGUAUUUCUGUGCCAGCAGUGAAUCCACAGUGUUGAAUGCUGCCUCAUCUUAGUGCAUGAACUCACCCUCAGCUCAGGAAGCAGAUGGUGGAGUAAGUUGGAAGGAAAAUACAUAGUUCACUUAAGUCACAGAGUGAUUUGUAACAGUGCUAUAGAAUACCAUAGCAACAAUAUAGUGAUUCAUUAAAAAGGAGUCCACUGGAAUCAUUAUAUUUAUGACAGACAACAUAUAUAUUAAACACUUUAUUUCUUUAUAUUUAUUGUUUUUCUUUUUUUGCCUC